CAGCUCUCCUCCACUGCAAUCCUUCUGCUGCCUCUCCUGCCUGCAGUACCUGGGGCUGAGGAGACCAGGAGAGAGGCAGCUGCCCUAGCAGACAUCCAGAAAUCCAGGUGACAUAUACAGAGAUGGCUGCUAUCAGGGAAUCAAGUAGAGAAACUGUCCAGAGCAGGAACAGGAAUAUG
rnacentral:lncRNA from 1 species